rfam:Candidatus Gottesmanbacteria bacterium RIFOXYB1_FTLL_47_11 rifoxyb1_full_scaffold_1060, whole genome shotgun sequence.
GGGCUCGUAGCGUAACGGUUAUCGCGCCUCGAUGGCAUCGAGGAGAUUAGGGGUUCGAUUCCCCUCGGGUCCA